GAUCAUGGCUCAGGACGAACGCUGGCGGCGCGCCUAACACAUGCAAGUCGAACGAGAGAGAAGGAGCUUGCUUCUUCGAUCGAGUGGCGAACGGGUGAGUAACGCGUGAGGAACCUGCCUCAAAGAGGGGGACAACAGUUGGAAACGACUGCCAAUACCGCAUAAGCGCACAGGAUCGCAUGAUCCGGUGUGAAAAACUCCGGUGGUAUGAGAUGGACCCGCGUCUGAUUAG
rnacentral:rRNA from 1 species